rnacentral:rRNA from 1 species
AUUGACGGAUCCAGASUUUGAUUCUGGCUCAGGACGAACGCUGGCGGCGUGCCUAAUACAUGCAAGUAGAACGCUGAAGAAUUUAGCUUGUCUAAAGUUGGAAGAAUUGCGAACGGGUGAGUAACGCGUAGGUAACCUGCCUACUAKCGGGGGAUAACUAUUGGAAACGAUAGCUAAUACCGCAUAACAGCAUUUAACCCAUGUUAGAUGCUUGSAAAGGAGCAAUUGCUUCACUAGUAGAUGGACCUGCGUUGUAUUAGCUAGUUGGUGAGGUAACGGCUCACCCAGGCGACGAUACAUAGCCGACCUGAGAGGGUGAUCGGCCACACUGGGACUGAGACACGGCCCAGACUCCUACGGGAGGCCGCCGUAGGGAAUCUUCGGCAAUGGGGGAACCCCUGACCGAGCAACGCCGCGUGUGAAGAAGGUUUUCGGAUCGUAAAGCUCUGUUGUAAGAGAAGAACGUGUGUGAGAGUGGAAAGUUCACACAGUGACGGUAACUUACCAGAAAGGGACGGCUAACUACGUGCCAGCAGCCGCGGUAAUACGUAGGUCCCGAGCGUUGUCCGGAUUUAWURGGCGUAAAGCGAACGCAGGCGGUUUAAUAAGUCUGAARUUAAAGGCAGUGGCUUAACCAUUGUUCGCUUUGGAAACUGUUAGACUUGAGUGCAGAAGGGGAGAGUGGAAUUCCAWGUGUAGCGGUGWAAUGCGUAGAUAUAUGGAGGAACACCGGUGGCGAAAGMGGCUCUCUGGUCUGUAACUGACGCUGAGGCUMGAWAGCGURGGGAGMAAACAGGAWUAGAUAMCCUGGUAGUCMMMGCCGUAAACRAUGAGUGMUAGGUGUUAGGCCUUUCCGGGGCUUWRUGCSGCAGCUAACGCAUUAAGCACUCAGCCUKGGGAGUUCGAAMGCAAGUUGAUACUCAAAGGRAUUGHCRGGGGCCCACAAAAGCRGURGAACAURURGUUWAAUUMGAMRCAAMVCRAAAAACCUUMCACRGUCUUGACCUCCCRAWGCUAUUCCUAGAGAUAGGAAUUUCUUCGGAACAYCGGUGMAAGGUGGUACCUGGWKAUCGUMUGCUMGUGUCGUAKGAURUAGGRUU